CAAAGGUUUGGUCCUAGCCUUAUUAUUAGUUGUCAGUAAGAUUAUACAUGCAAGUAUCCGCCAACCAGUGAAAAUGCCCUCAUACUCGUCCACUACAAACGAUCCCAAAGGAGCCGAUAUCAAGCACACCCACGGUAGCUCAAGACAUCUUGCUCAGCCACACCCCCACGGGAUACAGCAGUAGUAAAAAUUAAGCAAUAAACGAAAGUUUGACUAAGUUAUACUGAUUAGGGUUGGUCAAUCUCGUGCCAGCCACCGCGGUCAUACGAUUGACCCAAAUUAAUGAUUAAACGGCGUAAAGUGUGGUUAAACACUUACCAAUGUAAAUAAAGUUAAACUAGCUCUCAGCUGUAAAAAGCUAAAGAUCUAUGGUAAAUAGACUAUUAAUGUAACUUUACUUAUAGUGAACCCACGAUAGCUAAGAUACAAACUGGGAUUAGAUACCCCACUAUGCUUAGCCGUAAACUUUGAUAAUUACUAACAAAAAUAUCCGCCAGAGAACUACAAGCCACUGCUUAAAACUCAAAGGACUUGGCGGUGCUUUAUACCCCCUAGAGGAGCCUGUUGCAUAAUCGAUAAACCCCGAUAAACCCUACCAUCACUUGCUAAAUCAGUCUAUAUACCGCCAUCUUCAGCAAACCCUUAUAAGGAACAAUAGUAAGCUUAAACGCCCCCGCAAAAACGUUAGGUCAAGGUGUAACCUAUGUGAUGGAAAACAAUGGGCUACAUUUUCUACAUAAGAACACACGAACUCUUAUAUGAAAUUAUCAGAUAAAGGAGGAUUUAGAAGUAAGCCAGGAAUAGAGAGCCUGACUGAACUUGGCUAUGAAGCACGCACACACCGCCCGUCACCCUCCUCAAGUGUUUAAGACUAACAACCCUAUUACACUAAUACAAACAUAAGAGGAGACAAGUCGUAACAAGGUAAGCAUACUGGAAAGUGUGCUUGGAGUAUU
rnacentral:rRNA from 14 species